CAACCUGCCCACCACUUGGGGAUAACCUUGCGAAAGUAAGACUAAUACCCAAUGAUAUCUCUAGAAGACAUCUGAAAGAGAUUAAAGAUUUAUCGGUGAUGGAUGGGGAUGCGUCUGAUUAGCUUGUUGGCGGGGUAACGGCCCACCAAGGCAACGAUCAGUAGGGGUUCUGAGAGGAAGGUCCCCCACAUUGGAACUGAGACACGGUCCAAACUCCUACGGGAGGCAGCAGUGAGGAAUAUUGGUCAAUGGACGAGAGUCUGAACCAGCCAAGUAGCGUGCAGGAAGACGGCCCUAUGGGUUGUAAACUGCUUUUAUAAGGGAAUAAAGUGAGCCUCGUGAGGCUUUUUGCAUGUACCUUAUGAAUAAGGACCGGCUAAUUCCGUGCCAGCAGCCGCGGUAAUACGGAAGGUCCGGGCGUUAUCCGGAUUUAUUGGGUUUAAAGGGAGCGUAGGCCGGAGAUUAAGCGUGUUGUGAAAUGUAGAGGCUCAACCUCUGCACUGCAGCGCGAACUGGUCUUCUUGAGUACGCACAACGUGGGCGGAAUUCGUGGUGUAGCGGUGAAAUGCUUAGAUAUCACGAAGAACUCCGAUUG
rnacentral:rRNA from 1 species